rnacentral:rRNA from 1 species
UACGAAGGGGGCUAGCGUUGUUCGGAAUCACUGGGCGUAAAGGGCGCGUAGGCGGGUGCUCAAGUCCGGGGUGAAAUCCCACAGCUCAACUGUGGAACUGCCUCGGAUACUGGGUGUCUCGAGGGUGGCAGGGGUAUGCGGAACUAUCGGUGGAGCGGUGAAAUGCGUUGAUAUCGAUAGGAACUCCGGUGGCGAAGGCGGCAUACUGGUCCACUUCUGACGCUGAGGCGCGAAAGCCAGGGGAGCAAACGGG